UACGGAGGAUGCAAGCGUUAUCCGGAAUGAUUGGGCGUAAAGCGUCCGCAGGUGGCGAUGUAAGUCUGCUGUUAAAGAGUCUAGCUCAACUAGAUAAGAGCAGCGGAAACUACAUAGCUAGAGUACGUUCGGGGCAGAGGGAAUUCCUGGUGUAGCGGUGAAAUGCGUAGAGAUCAGGAAGAACACCAGUGGCGAAGGCGCUCUGCUAGGCCGUAACUGACACUGAGGGACGAAAGCUAGGGGAGCGAAUGGG
rnacentral:rRNA from 1 species